AUGCUUUGGCUGAUGAAGAUAAAUAUCUUGUAAGUAAUCUAUACUAUGAUACUUGUUAGGUAUAUACUAUACGUCUAUACAAUAAUUUAAAUUUUUCAUAAUACUUGUCUAAUUUAAAAAUUUAACGGUUGAAGAUAUAUUUUUAUUUAUUCAUAUUUCACAGGUUCUUACAAAUAAAUGGGUACCACCUCCAAAUUAUAGUUUUCGAUAACUGAUAAAAACAAAAACCGUGGCCUAAAAUUUCAAUACAAAUGGCUGACAGAAUUUGAAUGCCUAACAUAUUCUGAGUUGAAAAUGGGUGCUUUUUGUAAAUUUUGUACGGUUUUUGCAAAGUCUGGUGGUGUAAAUAAUCAGCCGUUAGGUCAACUUGCUGUUAGGGACUUAGAUGAAUAGAAUAAUGCUAAGCAGGUUAUUAUAAUAUAGUACUUUUUUAAUGUUUACAGUAUAUUUUUUUGUACAGUAUAUCACACAUGUACCUAAUGCCACUACUAAGUAGUUAAUAAUUAUGUACUUAAUAUGCAAUAUUAUUUUUAAACAUAAUUACUUACUUUAUUUUAUAUAAUUUUAACUAGAAUUGAACAAAUCAAAUUAAAUAGAAAAAAGCUUAUCCCAAUUAUUAAUUGUGUGAUCUUGUGUGGUCGUCAAGAAUUAGCUUUGCGAGGCCACAGAGAUUCUGGAAACAGCAACAACCAAUCAACCAAUCUAGGUAAUUUUAGAGCUAUACUUAACUAUCGAAGUGAAGGUGAUGAUUAUUUAAAACAUCAUUUAGAAAAACAAGGAAGAAACAAAUCCGACACACCUCAAGUUCAAAAUGAAAUAAUUUCAGCAUGUGGAGAAAUAAUUUUAAUUUUAAUUUAAUAGCAGCUAUCGAACAGUUAGCAUUAUGUGUGAGAUAUGUUGAUUCAAAAUAUAAUAUUAAAGACAAUUUUCUUAAGUUUAUACCUGUUAAUAGCCUAACUGGGAAAAAUCUAGCAGAGUCUAUUUUAAGUGGAUUAACUGAAUGUGGAAUAAACUGCAAUUUCCUUUAUGGCCAAGGAUAUGAUGGCGCUAAAAACAUGUCAAUCCAGUUCAAUGGGGCUCAAACACACAUUAGAACUACUUUUCCUAAAGCGAUAUUAUGUACAUUGUGCAGCCCACUCAUUUAACUUGGCUGUAUCAACUGCGUGUAACAUACAACCCAUUAGAAACUGUUUGGGCAUUAUAGAGAAAUUAUAUAUUUUCUUCAAUACACCUAAACGUCAUAAUGUGUUAUUAUCUUGUAUUGAAAAUA